GAAUCUUCCGCAAUGGACGAAAGUCUGACGGAGCAACGCCGCGUGAGUGAUGAAGGUCUUCGGAUCGUAAAACUCUGUUGUUAGGGAAGAACAAGUAUAAGGCGAAUAACCUUAUACCUUGACGGUACCUAACCAGAAAGCCACGGCUAACUACGUGCCAGCAGCCGCGGUACUCCGGAGGGGGCGAGCGUUGUCCGGAAUUAUUGGGCGUAAAGGGUGCGUAGGCGGUCUUCUAAGUCUGAUGUGAAAGCCCCCGGCUUAACCGGGGAGGGUCAUUGGAAACUGGAAGACUUGAGUGCAGAAGAGGAGAGCGGAAUUCCACGUGUAGCGGUGAAAUGCGUAGAGAUGUGGAGGAACACCAGUGGCGAAGGCGGCUCUCUGGUCUGUAACUGACGCUGAGGCACGAAAGCGUGGGGAGCAAA
rnacentral:rRNA from 1 species